AUUUCCUAGCAUUUGUUCUUUGUUUCUCUUAAAUUCUCACACAAAAUUUGAGCCACCCUCUCUCUCUCUGAGUGAGUUCUCAACCUCUUCUAUGGAGUCGUCUCAACAACUUACAGAAUAUGAGGUUAAGCACCUCGAUAAUAUUCUUGCUGGAACGAUCAACUAACUUAUGACUUCCCUUAAAAUCUACUCCAAGGCCGCCAAGAAUUGGAAUCAAAUUGUACAAAGUGAGUCUGGAGAAGAAACCCAAAGGUCUAGGCAAUAUUGUCAAAGCAAUCGAUAAGGUUGUCAAAUCUCCGACCUUGUCGAAGCCUUCGCCGGGCGCUUUGGGGCCUUUUAAGAUAUGUGUAUCGUGGAACCAGGCCUGAUAAUUACUAAUUGAAAAAUUUUUAGAAGGUUAAAAGAAAGACCACAAGAAAUUUGGUGACAAAAAUGCUAGGGAUUUGGUGGCAAUGUUUGGCGACUAGACUCUCAUGGGUCGAGCUGAACAUUUUGUGCAACAUGGCAGUGGGUUUAUUUUUGACACUGGCACUAAAUAACGUGUGCAAAUUGGCAUGCAGUGAGUUUAUUUUUGAUCUUGUUAAAUGGCCUCGGGAGCAAAUGGAUGAAGAUUUUGUUAAGCUAUU